CUCUCUCUCUCAACCUCUCUCUCUCUCUCUGUCUGUCCCUCUCUCCCUCUCUCUCUCUCUCUCUCUGUCUGUCCCUCUCUCUCUCUCUCUCUCUCUCUCUCAUCCUGGUAUUCAUGAGUCCCUCCAGCAGAUGCUCUCAGGCGCAUGAAUCCUGGCUCGGCGGUCCGGCGUAAUUUUCCGUGAGAAACGUUGGCGCGCGAUCCCGUCCGUGCUCCAGCACGCGGAACCCACCCGGGUGGCCUGGCAGGGGAGACGGGCGCAUGCCAAGCUGAGAGAGAACCAAAGCACACCCACAGAUCCCUCCCUCGGGCAGGUGCGGACGGCUGGCUUGUCAUCGUCAUUAGCAAGGAGAGGCUGCGGUGUUCCUUUGUGGCGAUGAAGAGGUUAAGUCCACCCAAAACCGUUCCCUCCUCUUCCAGCUCCUGCGCAGUUGUUUGUAACCAAGGCGACAGCAUCCAUGGAAACGCUGAUCCUCGUGUUUUAAAUAAUAAAG